rnacentral:rRNA from 1 species
GACGUAGGGGGCGAGCGUUGUCCGGAUUCAUUGGGCGUAAAGCGCGCGCAGGCGGUUCGGAAAGUCGGAUGUGAAAACCCGGAGCUCAACUCCGGGCCUGCAUCCGAUACUCCCGGACUAGAGGUAGGUAGGGGAGAUCGGAAUUCCGUGGUGUAGCGGUGAAAUGCGCAGAUAAUCAGGAGGAACACCGGUGGCGAAGGCGGAUCUCUGGGCCUUACCUGACGCUCAGGCGCGAAAGCUAGGGGAGCGAACAGG